rnacentral:rRNA from 1 species
UUAAUGAGGCGAACCGGGGGAACUGAAACAUCUAAGUACCCCGAGGAAAAGAAAUCAACCGAGAUUCCCCCAGUAGCGGCGAGCGAACGGGGAGGAGCCCAGAGCCUGAAUCAGCAUGUGUGUUAGUGGAAGCGUCUGGAAAGGCGCGCGAUACAGGGUGACAGCCCCGUACACAAAAGCGCAUGUGCUGUGAGCUCGAUGAGUAGGGCGGGACACGUGGUAUCCUGUCUGAAUAUGGGGGGACCAUCCUCCAAGGCUAAAUACUCCUGACUGACCGAUAGUGAACCAGUACCGUGAGGGAAAGGCGAAAAGAACCCCGGCGAGGGGAGUGAAAAAGAACCUGAAACCGUGUACGUACAAGCAGUGGGAGCCCCACCACUAAGCC